GAAAAUGAUUGGCACUAUUGUAGGUACGGCAGAUUUGGUUCCGAUGAUCCCGCUUCGGCGGUGACGCCCUCGGGCCGUAUCCCACCAGCGGUCACUUGAUUGUGAAUUGAGGACUUUGAUUCGAGACGGUGUCUCGACGAGGAUUUAUUCGGAC